UACGAACGCUGGCGGCGUGCUUAACACAUGCAAGUCGAACGGAAAGGCCCUGCUUUUGUGGGGUGCUCGAGUGGCGAACGGGUGAGUAACACGUGAGUAACCUGCCCUUGACUUUGGGAUAACUUCAGGAAACUGGGGCUAAUACCGGAUAGGAGCUCCUGCUGCAUGGUGGGGGUUGGAAAGUUUCGGCGGUUGGGGAUGGACUCGCGGCUUAUCAGCUUGUUGGUGGGGUAGUGGCUUACCAAGGCUUUGACGGGUAGCCGGCCUGAGAGGGUGACCGGCCACAUUGGGACUGAGAUACGGCCCAGACUCCUACGGGAGGCAGCAGUGGGGAAUAUUGGACAAUGGGCGGAAGCCUGAUGCAGCAACGCCGCGUGCGGGAUGACGGCCUUCGGGUUGUAAACCGCUUUCGCCUGUGACGAAGCGUGAGUGACGGUAAUGGGUAAAGAAGCACCGGCUAACUACGUG
rnacentral:rRNA from 1 species